UUUAGAUAAUGGAUUGAUUUAUCAGAAUUCAAUUCAUUCGUCUCCUCUGCCUCUCGCCCGAAGAAGAUAACUGGAUCUGGCGGGAAAUUAGAGAUCUUCGCAUUGUGCCGACGGUAUCGGAAGGUGAACUUUUGUUGCAAUAAACAGAGUUUCUAGUUUAAUCAUUUGAGAGAAUGAAAGAAGUUUGCUUGGUUAUGAGGAUUCCAAAGAAGUGGGUUGAUGCCAAAUAUUACACUCCUAGAAAGUUGACGUCCAACCAACUCUGGGGUCAUUUAAGAGCUUGACGGUACGGUUCCAACUCCAUUGAUGUAAGAAUCCCUUUUCAUUGUUAUCAUCAGAAGCUUUAUAUGUGUGGAAGAUAAUGCUUUGUUCAUCCUGGGCUUCAGUUUCCACCUUCUUUGUACUUGUUAUGAUUCUUGGUAUUUAGUCUAUAGAUCAUCUCCUUUGACAGUUCAUUCUUUACCUUCUUCUUUCUUGUUCUCUCUGUCUCUCUUUUCCCCACCUGUGGAAGAAAAAAUGAUUUAUCUGUAACAGUUUAAGCUCACCCCACCGCUAGUAGAUGUUGUCCUCUUUGAGCUUUUCUUUUCGGAUUUCCCCUCAAGGUUUUUAAAAUGCGUAGGUUGGGAGAGGUUUCCACACCCCUAUAAAAAAAUGUUUCGUUCUCCUCUCCAACUGAUGUGAGAUCUCACAAUUCACCCCCUUCGAGGUCCAGCAUCCUGGCUGGCACUCGUUAUCUUCUCCAAUUGAUAUGGGACUCCCCAAUCCACCCCCUUCAAGGCCCAUGGCUGACACACUGCCUCAUGAAUGAAUUCAAAGUUAGAACGGUCUCUGUUUCCUUGGCAACAAAAUGUAAAAGAUCAAACAGUUGCCCUUUGAGAUUAGUCAAGUAUAAUAUAUAUUGGAGAUCAGUUCUGGUAUCCCUUUGAAACUCAUUUAUUUUCGGUCUCAACUUGUUUCAUUGUCUGAGUUUAGCAUAGGUUUCUGCUCAGCCUAGAAGAAACUUAACCAAAUGGCUCAAAUAACACUCUUCUUUGAUCUUUA